rnacentral:rRNA from 1 species
CGGACGGGUGAGUAACGCGUGGGCAACCUGCCUUACACAGGGGGAUAACACUUAGAAAUAGGUGCUAAUACCGCAUAAGCGCACAGCUUUGCAUGAAGCAGUGUGAAAAACUCCGGUGGUGUAAGAUGGACCCGCGUCUGAUUAGCUGGUUGGCAGGGUAAAGGCCUACCAAGGCGACGAUCAGUAGCCGGCCUGAGAGGGUGAACGGCCACAUUGGGACUGAGACACGGCCCAAACUCCUACGGAAGGCAGCAG